GAUUGAAACCAAAGAAGCUGUGGUACUUGGAGAUCUCUGUUGCUCUCUCUUAGAGAAGUGCUGGGCUGUCAGGAGACCACUUCAUGCUUCUCCUGUAACAGCACCUUUUGCAGCUGCUGGAAGUCACCAUCUCUUGGGCAGGGGGAUUUUCUGCUCUGCGCAGUUUCUCUGGUUUGGAAGUGAAGCAGUUUAACAAUGUGUCCUGAAGGAAACAGGCACCCAAAGAGCAUUUCCAAGGAAGAUAUAAGA
rnacentral:lncRNA from 1 species